UUCCUGGAGGACUAGUGGUUAGGCCACAGCGCUUUCACCGCUGCAGCCUGCGUUCGAUUCCUGGCCAGGAAA